AGACUGCGGAGGACAUUAUUGAUUUUCAAGGAGCUGUUUGCUGGCCUCUCGGGGCAUGUGCACGCUUCGAUCGAUUCCAACCUUUACACCCCUGUGCACCUUUUGUAGGGUCGCGGUCGAAAGGCUGCGCCUCUAUGUCAUGCCACGAACUCUAUGUAUGUUUAGAAUGUUAAACGCGUGCGACGCAUUUUUAUACAACUUUCAGCAACGGAUCUCUUGGCUCUCGCAUCGAUGAAGAACGCAGCGAAAUGCGAUAAGUAAUGUGAAUUGCAGAAUUCAGUGAAUCAUCGAAUCUUUGAACGCACCUUGCGCUCCUUGGUAUUCCGAGGAGCAUGCCUGUUUGAGUGUCAUGGAAUCAUCAACCCUCAACCUUUGAGGACGAGGGCUUGGACUUGGAGGUUUCAUGCUGGCUUUGCCCUCUGUGAAGGGGUGGUCGGCUCCUCUUGAAUGCAUUAGCUUGAACCUAUGCUGUAUCGGCUUAUCGGUGUGAUAACUGUCUACGCCGCGGCUGUGAGGCUUUUAAAACUCGGGCUCAGCUUCGAAUCGUCCCUCCGAGGGGGGGGGACGCCAACUUUAUUGACCUCUGACCUCAAAUCAGGUAGGAUUACCCGCUGAACUUAAGCAUAUCAAUAAGCCGGAGGAA
rnacentral:rRNA from 1 species